rnacentral:sRNA from 1 species
GGAGGCGGAGCCGCCGCUCUACCCGAUGGCGGGGGCUGCGGGGCCGCAGGGCGACGAGGACCGGCUCGGGGUCCCGGACGGGCCCGAGGCCCCGCUGGACGAGCUGGUGGGCGCGUACCCCAACUACAACGAGGAGGAGGAGGAGCGCCGCUACUACCGCCGCAAGCGCCUGGGCGUGCUCAAGAACGUGCUGGCUGCCAGCGCCGGAGGCAUGCUCACCUACGGCGUCUACCUGGGCCUCCUGCAGAUGCAGCUGAUCCUGCACUACGACGAGACCUACCGCGAGGUGAAGUAUGGCAACAUGGGGCUGCCCGACAUCGACAGCAAAAUGCUGAUGGGCAUCAACGUGACUCCCAUCGCCGCCCUGCUCUACACACCUGUGCUCAUCAGGUUUUUCGGAACGAAGUGGAUGAUGUUCCUCGCUGUGGGCAUCUACGCCCUCUUUGUCUCCACCAACUACUGGGAGCGCUACUACACACUUGUGCCCUCGGCUGUGGCCCUGGGCAUGGCCAUCGUGCCUCUUUGGGCUUCCAUGGGCAACUACAUCACCAGGAUGGCGCAGAAGUACCACGAGUACUCCCACUACAAGGAGCAGGAUGGGCAGGGGAUGAAGCAGCGGCCUCCGCGGGGCUCCCACGCGCCCUAUCUCCUGGUCUUCCAAGCCAUCUUCUACAGCUUCUUCCAUCUGAGCUUCGCCUGCGCCCAGCUGCCCAUGAUUUAUUUCCUGAACCACUACCUGUAUGACCUGAACCACACGCUGUACAAUGUGCAGAGCUGCGGCACCAACAGCCACGGGAUCCUCAGCGGCUUCAACAAGACGGUUCUGCGGACGCUGCCGCGGAGCGGAAACCUCAUUGUGGUGGAGAGCGUGCUCAUGGCAGUGGCCUUCCUGGCCAUGCUGCUGGUGCGGCCCGGGAUUGGGGCAGGACAGUCAGUGAAGCAGAGUGUGGUUCUGGGGACCGAGUCUGCGAGAAAGGGUCUGGAUCGGAUGGCGUGGCCUGGGUCGGGUUGUGGCCUCGGG